CGCUUCUGCCUCCUCAUCUUUGACCGGCCCGAGCUCUUCUAAAUGUGGAGAGCAUUUAUUCUUUUUUAGUUGUUUGAUAAUGGCAACUGGGUUUAGAUCACCAGUUACCGUCAACUUACUUGAUGCAAUGUCUGAGACUAUAGAUACAAUCCCUGCAACAAUUGAUUCAUAAAAUCACAAAUCAUUCAUCAUUAUAACCUGAGGGGAGAUUGGGUUGGCAAUUAAGAUAUCUCUAUUGGAUAUAUAUACCUGGAAGUCCAGAGACAGCCGCUACGGCCUUCUUUUGGGACGCAAUAUCAUGAAUGCUAACUUGCACGACCAUUUUCUGCAUGGAAUUAAAAUUUAACAUGAUCAGCAAUCUAAGAAGCUUGAUUUAACAAGAUCAUCAAGUGACCAACACACCCAAAACAAUAAUUGAAGAAACAAACCUUCGACAUCUUGGCUGAAAGAAGAACUGAAGAAAAAAAGCUAUGUGCAGUUGGUUACCGUACCUUGUGAGGAAAAUAACAGAUGUGUUGAGAUUUUAUAGAGAAAUGAGAAGGGAGAAAGGAAAGAAAUGAUAAGGGAGGAAGGUGAUCAAUUGAUUAAUGGACUUCAAUAUGAUGGAGAAAUAAUUAAUAACAAGCUUAAAUAAGAUCAAAUAUUGACUUCAAUAUUUCUAAGUCAAAUUUCUCCUCACACUAUAAAAUUAUUGAGGUAAAAAAAUUGCAUUAUAUUUCAACUUUCACAGUUUCACUUAAUCCAGUAAUUAAGUGAAAGAAUACACCAGUGAAUAAUCACAAGACCUGUUGUAGCCAUCAAUCAUGAGGGUAAUUUUUGUCAAUGUCAACAUUGAUGGAGGCUAAAGAGGUGGCUUAAAAUUGCACACUUAGAAGCCAUGGUAUAUUCAUUAUGUUUGAAAGUGACUAAUUAUGAUUUAUAAAUCAUGACUUAAUUAUGGCUAAUGAGUUAUGACAUCAUAUCUAUCUAAAAUAGUAUCUUCAACAUUGAGAUUCAGAUAAUAUAUUAAUUAGAUUUUAAAAAUACAAAUAGAUUAACUCAAUUGGAUUCAUUAACCCUAGAAAUUCACAUAAUGGAAGAGAGUUCAGAUAAAGCUUUGACCAUUUCUACUAGCUCCACAAUCACUCAUUAGUCAUUACUUAAAAAAUGAUACUCACUCAUUAGACUCAGACAAUCUGUGUUUGCUUGACCAAUAAGUUUUAUUAAAAUAUCGACAAAAUCCACAAUGAAAUAUUAAAACAAAACAUCAAUAAUUCAUAACACCGUCAUUUACAAUCAACAUGAUAUCAUGUAAAAAUACAAAUGAUAUUUGGGAGAUUUAGCAGACUGGAGACCCAUGUACAAUUAUAAAUGAAAAUAUUGGGGUAUUUUAAGAAGUUAGUCACAGGGUAGGGUCAGGGUCAAGGUCGGGAUCAAGGUCAAGGUGAGGAGCUCUCAAUGCCCUCAUUGAUUUGUGACUGAAGUUUCAACACCUAACUUUAUGUAUCGCCUAAUAUAGACCAUGUAGAAACUUAUGUGCCAUUGGACAGUGAUUGAGCUAGUAUUGUUAUUUUCUCCUACAGGACUCAGUCAACUCCUGAGUAGUGCUUAUCUACUAAUAGACUUUCUAAUUUUUGUACAUAUUGUAAAUUAAAACUGAACAAGACCCCCACUUCAUAGAUAAUGAAAUUUUAUCUUCAUCAACAAAAAUUCAUGCAAGAAGACCGACCCAACAUAAUCUAAAUAGUAAAUAACAAAAACCUUAGAUCUAACCCAAAAACACUUGGGCGCCAUAAAUGAGCACAUGCUUUAUCUGUAGAGAAAAGUGGCACCAUAAAUGAUGAACAUGUGUUCUAUGUGUACUCUGUAAGAAUAGAACCAAAUAGUACACAUUAUUUUUUUAAUGAAAAUAGUACAUAGUUUUCUUUCUACUCAAAUUUGCACAAUUAAAUGCAAUGAUCAGUUUAUAGAAAAUAUAAAAAAAAGAGGUUUGAUUGUUUGAAUAUUUGAUGUAAAAAUUGCUGGAAAAAAACACAAUUUCUCAAUAAGGUUUUAUACAUUGAUUACUCACAUUCUGGAUUAUUACAUGAGUAGAAUUUCUAAUAUGUAAAUAGAUUUUCCAUUUCCUUGAGUGUUGAGACCUUCACAAUAAAUAAAUAAAAAUCCAAUAUGAUCCAGCAUUUUAUUUAGCUAUUGAUUACUAAUUACUUUUAUAGAAGGUUUAGAGCAAACCAUUUAUUCAGAUCUUACCAUUUAGAGCACAUGGUUUAGAUUGUGAGUUUAAGAUUGAAGAUCUAGACUGCACUAUAAUAUAAACUCAGAUCUUAUCUUGAAGAUAUGCAGAUACAAAAACAAACAUUGCUCCAGUAGAAAUACCUAAUAAAAGACUCGCAGGAAAAGGUUUCUUAGUGGCCACCAAUCGUAUUCCUAAUUGAAAAUGAGAUAAAUAUUAAGUUCAUAUGCAUAAUACAGUUGCAUUUGUUAAAAAAAAAAUUAAAAUAGCAUACCAAACACAGCUGAGAAGAGUAAUGCACAUCCAAAUCCAAUUGCAUCACCUGCCACUUUGGUUUCCGGUGUUUGCAUCAAAUAGUAUGUCUGGAAGACAAAAUUGAAUGUACAAUACCCUUAGAAGUUAGGAAUUAGAAUCAAGUAAAAAAAUCUUCUUCUUUUUAAUGAAUUGUCUGUGUUUUUUUAGGUUUAAGCAAUGGUGAACGGAAACACAUGAGUCCCAGCAGUGAUUGGCUGGAAAAAUAAAAUUUCAAAGUAGGAUUAACUAUUAAGACUAACUACCGCCAUGAGAGCGCCGCCGGAAGCUCCGCCAAGAGCCGAUCCUUUGCUUCCAGAUCUAAAAUCUGCUUCCCACUCUCAAAAUAAGAGAAGAAGAAAAACCCAAACAGUAGGAAAUUACAGUUAAUUACGUACAUGCGGAAAGGCCGCCUCCAAAGAGCAAUGUGCCGUAAACAGCCGAAGCGACGGGGGCGAGUUCGAAAAUCGUAGACACUUCUUGAGCAUCGCAACGGAUGGUACGAUUUGAAGGACGGGAAAUCCGAAUACGAAGGUUAGAUGUUGAGUUAUGGAGUAGACGGAGACGAGAUCCAGAGCCAUAAGCAGAGGAGAGGAGGAGGGAUGGAGUCGCCGCCGAUGAGAUUAGGGUUUGCAUUGUGGCAAAUGUGGUUUUAGUUUGAAUUUUGGUAGUGAAGAUGAAGUGAAACACUUUAAAUUAAUGACAUGUUUUACAAUGUGUAUCUACUAUUUGUAUAUUUAAAUUUGACAAUUUAUGUAUUGGCCCCUAUUCUUUAUUGUUUCUCCUGAUACCCCCUGUCGACACCGGUGAGCCGUAGGCGAUUCCGGUGACGUUGAAACAGAGCGACUGACAGCGCCUUCGUGAAUAUGUUGGCCGAUUGGUCUUCCGAUCGGACGUGUUGUAAUCGAAUAUCCCCGUAUAUAACAAACUCUCGAAUAAAAUGAUAAUCUAUCUCGAUGUGCCGUGUUUUUGCUUGGAUAACGGGGUUGGAUGUCAUAAACAUUGGGGAUUUGCUGUCCGUAUGUAUCACCGGAGUUUUGGUCAGACGAAUGCCCAGCUCUCUAAGGAGUGAGCAGAACCAUUUUAGCUCGGCGGUGACGUGCGCAAUUGCGCGGUAUUCAGCUUCAGUACUGGAGCGAGACACGGUCGGGUUGCUUCUUCGACAUCCAAGCGACAGGGUUCGGUCCUAGGAACACACAUGAUCCGGUCGUGGAUUUCCGAUCGUCCGGAUCACCUGCCCAGUCAGCGUCUACCAAAAUGUUUAGCUUCGUUAAUGGUGAAGGAGUGAACACACAGGAUCCAACACAAGAUCCUUUUUGCUGCCUGCCAGUGGACUGUUGUAGAUGUUUGCAUAAAUUUGCAUACCUGAUUUACGGCGUAUGAAAUGUCUGGCCGGGUUAUGCUAAGAUAUUGUAGCGCCCCCACAAGGCUGCGAUAUUGAGUUAGAUCUUCCAAUGGCGUGCCGGAGGUAUUUGCGAGGUGCGAGCCUGGUGUGCUGGGUGUCGAGAUGGGUUUAGAUUCCAGCAUCUUAAACUUAGACAGAAGGUCGAUGGAGUAUUUCUUCUGAGUUAUCUUUGUAGCUGUCGGGGUAGAAUUCAUCUCAAGUCCUAAAAAGUAGGAUAGCUAGCCUAAGUCCUGACACCUGAAUUCUCGACAAACUGUGUUGAUGAACUGUCGGACUGCGAUCUCACAACUCCCGGUUAUAAUAAAGUCAUCAACGUAGAUCAAGACGUAUAUAAUUUGGCCAUUGAAUCUCCUGAUGAAGAGUGACGAAUCGGCUGUGAAAUUAAAGAAGCUACAUUUUCUGAGGAAGUAUUUGAGUCUUUGAUACCAGGCCCAUGGCGCCUGUUUUAGUCAGUAGAUUGCCUUCCUCAGGCGACACACGUGAGACCUGGCCGUGGUAGAUUUCAUGAUGAACCCCGGAGGCUGUUCCAUGUACACCGUCUCCAUGAGAUUGCCAUUCAAGAAGGCGUUGCAUAUAUCGAGGUGGUGGAGUUGCCAUUGUCUGGAUGUGGAGAUUGCCAAAAUCGUUCUUAUUGUAGCCGCCUUGACAACAGGGCUGUAAGUAAGAUCAUAAUCCUCUCCAUGUUUCUGAUGGAAGCCCUUCGCAACUAAUCGCGCCUUGUAUCUCUCCAGCGAUCCAUCUGAGUUUUGUUUGAUUCUAAACACCCAACGUGAACCAACUACGUUCAUCCACGAUUCACGAGCCUCUAAGUCCCUGGUCCGAUUUAACUCCAGCGCUCGCAAUUCUUCCUUCAUAGCCGUGGUCCAUAAUGAAUUGAGAGAGCUUCUUUGACGGUUGUAGGCUCCUGCUCCUUGAUUUUGGACAGAUUGUAGCUUGAUGACGAUGGGUUCUGUUUAUGAGUUGCAGGUUCCUGCUCUGUUCUGCCAGGUAGUGUGUUUGAAUUAUGCCGGAUCGAAUGUUGAAUAGAUCAGAUUGGACGAAGUUUGGGGAACCCGAUUGGAAUCGAUUUGGGUGACUCGGUUCGAUGUGGUGUUGAAGAGCCGCUUUGAGAUUUGGGGAGCCCGAUCGGAUGUGACAAGAGAGAUCCGAUUUGAGAUUUGGGAACUCCGAUAUCCUGAGAUUUGAUGACUCCGAUAUCCCGGGAUUUGAGUGAGGUCACAACUGAUGCAGAGUUAUUCUGGUACUCUGUUUCUCCUCCUGUCUUCUCAUAGUCUCUCAUCCAUACCAGUGGUCGGCGUGCCCUGUCUGACCUUCUGUUGCAAUUCUCUCGAUGCUGGCUUGCGUGUUCCACCCUGGUACUUUGUACUGGCCGGCUGCACUCAGAGAUACCCAAAUCCUCAUUGCAGUGUGUACGACUUUCGAAGAUCACCCUCUCUGUUGAUGCCGGACUGUGAUUUGAUUCGAGUGGUGUACCGAUGGGUGUGUAUACCGAUGUAGAUCGUGGUGGAUCUUCUGAGCGUGUUGGGUGUACUGAUGGAGCCGCUGGAGGAGAUGUCAGAAGAGCCGGUGAAAGUUGCCUAAAAUGAGAUGACACCGGGAAGUGAUUUUGGACUGUGAAGAAACGGAAAAUGAUUUUCAUCAAAGAUGACAUGUCUUGAUACUGUCACUCUUCCGUUCGACAGAUCUUUGCACUUGUAACCCUUGUGCAUUGUCGAAUACCCAAUGAAUACACAUCGCGUAGCCACCGUCUGUAAUUUAUUUCUUUGUGUGUUUGGAGUGACCGGAAAACAUAAACAUCCGAAUGUACAUAGAAGGCUAUAGUCGGGAAGGCGUUUGAAGAGAAUUUCAUAUGGGGAUUUGUUGGAAGUAUGUGAGAAGGAAGUCGAUUGAUGACGAAGGCGGCGCUAGCAUAUGCGUCAGUCCAGAGAGGAAGCGGUAAUGUCGCCUGAUGCAAGAAGCAUCUUCCGACAGUUUUGAUAUGUCCGUGCUUACGCUCAGCAACUCCGUUUUGCUGAGGCGUAUACGGAUACGAGAACCUCUGCUGAAUACCAAGACUAGAAAGGAACUGAUGCAGUGUGUGGCCGACGAACUCGUCGUCGGCGUCACACUGUAUAAUUUUGAUUUUGGAAGAUAAUGAUCGUUCAAUCGAUUUACAUAAUGGAAUAAAAUUGGAAACAAAAUCAGAUUUAGCGUUUAACGGAAUAAACCAAGAAAACCUUGAGAAGUCAUCAAUGAUACACUCAUAGUAUCGGAAGCCCUCCCUAGAGGUGACCAGAGCUGGUCCCCAUAGGUCCAGAUGAAGAAUUUCGAGAGGUUCCUUCGCUGUGUAUGUUCGAAGAGAGAAGGGAAGUCGCUUGGCUUUAUUCAUCGCACAGACUUGACAGAAAGGGAGUGUGAACAGUCGACGAUCAACAGGAAGGCGAGCUGAAUUCAAAACAGAGGAUAGGACCGGUUGUGUCGGAUGGCCCAACCGGCGAUGCCAUACCACCGGAGUUACCUUUGUGCAAGCCAUGCCUUGAGAACUGGAACUUGCUCUUGGGUUAUUCAGAUGGUACAACCCUUGCGCACUACUGCCACACAUGAUGGUAUUCCCCGUCCCCUUGGCCUUUACAUUGAACCCAAUUUCAUCAAAGAAACUAACACAGUUAAGAUCGUACGAUAGAGAUUGAAUAGAUAGGAGAUUUUUAUGGAGACCGGGAACGUAUAAGACAUUGGGUAUAAAAAUCGGACCAAGUUGGAAUGGAAACGGUGCCCUGUCUCAAAAUCGGGAGCUGGGAUCCGUUUCCGAUCAUUACCGUAUCCUUACCUUGAUAUGGUUGGGAGGCGGAGAAGGAGUUCAGGGACGACGUCAAAUGAUUGGACGCUCCGCUAUCAAGGCACCAGGAGUUCUCAGAUUGAAUCGAUGGUGCUCCGCUGGUCAGCGAUUGGGUGCAGAAGUCAUCUCCAGUAGUUUGGGUAUUAUAUGCGUAGUUUCUCCUGUUGUGACAGUUCCGCGUGGUGUGUCCCGCUCGAUUGCAUAUUUGACAAAUCUGAUCCCCAAUCGAUGCUGAAGUAGGUAGCAGCGGAGGUGAAAAAUGUUCCGG
rnacentral:lncRNA from 1 species